AGCAGCCGCGGUAAUUCCAGCUCCAAUAGCGUAUAUUAAAGUUGUUGCAGUUAAAAAGCUCGUAGUUGAAUUUCGGGAUUAAUUUACUGGUCGUGCUAUUGUACGUACUGGUUUUAUUGAUUCCUCCCUUCUGACGAACUAUGAUGUCAUUAAUUUGGUGUCAUAGGGAAUCAGGACUGUUACUUUGAAAAAAUUAGAGUGUUUAAAGCAGGCUCACGCUUGAAUACAUUAGCAUGGAAUAACGGAAUAGGACGUUUGAUUCUAUUUUGUUGGUUUCUAGGAUCGACGUAAUGAUUAAUAGGGAUAGUUGGGGGCAUUAGUAUUCAAUUGUCAGAGGUGAAAUUCUUGGAUUUAUUGAAGACUAACUACUGCGAAAGCAUUUGCCAAGGAUGUUUUCAUUAAUCAAGAACGAAAGUUAGGGGAUCGAAGACGAUCAGAUACCGUCGUAGUCUUAACCAUAAACUAUGCCGACUAGGGAUCGGAUGGUGUUAAUUUUUUAAUGACUCAUUCGGCGCCUUAC
rnacentral:sRNA from 1 species